rnacentral:rRNA from 1 species
GACGGAGGAUGCAAGUGUUAUCCGGAAUCACUGGGCGUAAAGCGUCUGUAGGUGGUUCGAAAAGUCCACUGUUAAAAAUUGAGGCUUAACUUCAAAGAUGCCGUGGAAACUUUCAAACUAGAGUAUGGUAGGGGUAGAGGGAAUUUCCAGUGGAGCGGUGAAAUGCGUAGAUAUUGGAAAGACCACCGAUGGCGAAGGCACUCUACUGGGCCAUUACUGACACUGAGAGACAAAAGCUAGGGGAGCAAAUGGG